rnacentral:rRNA from 1 species
AGAGCGAACGCUGGCGGCAGGCCUAAUACAUGCAAGUCGAGCGGCCACUUCGGUGGCAGCGGCGGACGGGUGAGUAACGCGUGGGAAUGUGCCCUUUGGUACGGAACAACUGAGGGAAACUUCAGCUAAUACCGUAUGUGCCCUUGGGGGAAAGAUUUAUUGCCAUUGGAGCAGCCCGCGUUGGAUUAGCUAGUUGGUGGGGUAAAGCCCACAAGGCGACGAUCCAUAGCUGGUCUGAGAGGAUGAUCAGUCACACUGGAACUGAGACACGGUCCAGACUCCUACGGGAGCAGCAGUGGGGAAUA